CAUGGCCGCCCAGCUGCAGUCCUUUCUGGUGUCCGAGGUCAUUUGCUGGUGUUCAGCUGGUUCUCUGUGGGAAUGAUUGCGUCUUUUGCUGUAUUCCUGAUGCAUCUGUGGAGAGCUAAACUGCCAGCUGGGAGGCCACUGUUCUAAAUAGCUACUACACUGAUCCAAUACCAUUUAGCUCUGCAUUUCUUUGGAUUGAUUGCUACUUUUGUUCCACACCCCCAGAACCAGUGUGGAGGAGGAGAAAGUGUUGAUGAGAACCAAAUUGUCUACUUGCACAUUUACGUGCCUAACGAUUAGAAGGAAUUCCCAGAGAAGCUUCUGACAGGGUACAUUUCAAACCUUGUACUCUACUACCCAUCCCUCUGGUUCCAGGAAACCCACAGAACCUGUACAUGUUAAGUUAGAGCCUCUGGUCCUGCUCCUUCAUGUUUGAACACCAGUAUCCUCUUGAAUCAGGGAAGAUGUUUGUGGCUGUGAUACAAGAGAUGUGUUGUGGGUGCUCACAGAAACUACCGCUUUGUUACUGGUAUUUUCACUCUUCACACCUCUCACACCCCUGUGGUUUAAGGAAACCUGCCUGGAAACCAGCCCAAGAAAUAACAAUGAUAACGUUGACUGAAAGUGCUUCGGAGGCUGACAGACUAAUCUCUCCACUGAUCCCGUGCUUCUGCACUUAUCAUCCCGCCCCUUGGGCUGCUGCCCCUGCACUGCCGCCCAGGCUGAGCAGGAGGAGGGCAGAUGAGGCUGCACCAGACCAAAAAAGAAAGAAAAAAAAGGUGGGCGAGUGAUGCGGGCACAGGGAUGAUGCUGUGGAAGCCCGAGGGCCCCGUGGUUCUGAUGGGGGCUUUUUCACUAAAACAUGGAGGAAUGGACCGUGAAAAACAUCCUGGUUUUUGCCCCCACUUUUUGGUGGGAGUAGGGUGGGGCAUGGUAGAGGUAGUGACAGAGGAAACAGCCCUGAAGGAAAGACAGCUCUCUCCGCCGCUACUGCUUUCCUCCACCCGCCACAGUGCAAAGCCCCUCAAUCACUUCUCAUGGUGCAGCUGUAAAUAUGCACGGUGGCAGCAGACAAAGAGCUGGUCUGGCCCCUGCAGCGAGAGGAUGGGAAUCUAGAGUAGGAGCUACAAGGGCUAUGGGAACCUGACACAAUUCUGCAGGAGUGGUCCAGGAUAGAGCAGCCCGGCGGGGGCUGCUGGUUUCCUGACAAGCCAGGUUAGGCCAAUGAUGGUUGAAGAGGCUGCCCAAGCUCCAAGUGGGUAGCUGUUCCUCGCUCGGGAGAAUUUGGUGGAAGGAGAAUCCAAGGAAGGAACUAAUCCAGGAUCAACUUUAUUUUCCUUCCCUGAAUCAAACAUGACACACCAGGGAAAAAAGGAGUCAAGAAUACUUCAUUUCUGGAUUUGCUAUAAUGUCUCUCCCUGCCAAUUCUGUCCUCCCACCUGGCAACUCUGCUCUCGCCCUCCGUUCCUGACAACUGUCCUUUGAAAGGAUGGAAAGUGCACUUCAGUUUGUUGUUGUUUUUCCUUGUACUGAAAUAAAGCCCUGAAGCUUAUAGUAGAGGUGAGACUGGAGUUCUGCUUCUGUUAGAGCUAUGUGCCCCCAUCUUGAUAUUUGAUGUAUUAUGUGAGAUGUACCAUAUAAUUGGUAAUAUAUACAUUAAUUAUGUGUAUUGCAUAUGUUAUUUCAUAUAUAUACAUGUUACUUUAUUAUUUACAUUCUAUCUAUCACCUAUCUAUCAUCUAUCAUCUACCUAUCAUCUAUCUAUCUAUCUAUCUAUCUAUCUAUCUAUCUAUCAUCGGUCAUCUAUCUAUCAUCUAUCUAUCUAUCAUCUAUCAUCUCCCCUCUGUUUCCAGGAAGGAAGCUGCUAAUGGCUAUUUCAGCUCUGAGAUCUGCCCUUUUCUGCUCUUCAAUUCAUAUCUUGGGCAAGGUCACCUAAGUGGGCUUUCUGUAUUGCCAUCCAGAAGGUAGCUGCAAAUCAUUUUUUUUCUUUUCCUCUUAACUGAGAGAAGCUGAGGCUCGUCAUCUAGGGAAGAGGGCAGGAAACUCAAAUGCAAAAAAGCUACCUUAAAACAUUGACCUAUAAAGUGAGGCCAUUAAAGUAUGUGGUGCUACCACAGAUUUUCUUUCGAUGCCCAUUUUUUCGUUUCUAUUCUACCUCAGCUCAUUCAUUCCCCCUCUCCCGCUGCACCUACGCCGUGCACUAUGGAGGAUACAGGCUCUGCUUCGUGUCCUACCAUUAGUAACAACUCAUGCUUAAAAGACCUUUACUAUUUCCAGAACAUUCCCCUCUUGUUUUCUCUUUGACAUGUAUGCACAAAUUCUUCCUAUAUGCCUCCCUCUCUUCCAAAUCUGGCAGAUGGGCUGGACCUCUUUAUUUUUUAUUUUUUGGCUCAUUUGAGUAUGCUGUAGUAUAAAAUAAGUAUGCUUCCAGUACAAUAUUGAAGUGCUGAGGAGUGCACUUUGGGGAAAUGAAGCUCAGGUAAUGUGUCCACUCUCUGGGAAGGGGAAUUAUGAUAAAGUGCUAGAGUUUUGUCACUGUUACUGAACUUGCAUGUCUCGGAAGGAAGUAAUGUCAUUACCACAGCGGUUUUCUUCUUGUUCCUCUCUCCCCUCCAUGAUAUAUCAUGUAAUAAAAUAUAUUUCUGGAACAAAUGAAAA